UCGAGAGGUCCACCAACCUUGACUGGUACAAGGGCCCCACCCUCCUUGAUGCUCUUGACCAGAUCAGUGAGCCCAAGAGACCCACAGACAAGCCUCUCCGUCUUCCACUUCAGGAUGUCUACAAGAUUGGUGGUAUUGGAACUGUACCUGUGGGACGUGUUGAGACUGGUGUCCUGAAGCCUGGUAUGGUCGUGACCUUCGGCCCCACUGGACUGACCACUGAAGUUAAAUCUGUUGAGAUGCACCAUGAAGCUCUUCAGGAGGCCCUUCCAGGUGACAAUGUUGGUUUCA
rnacentral:lncRNA from 1 species